rnacentral:rRNA from 1 species
CCUACGGGAGGCUGCAGUGGGGAAUAUUGGACAAUGGGGGCAACCCUGAUCCAGCCAUGCCGCGUGUGUGAAGAAGGCCCUCGGGUUGUAAAGCACUUUCAGUGAGGAAGAACGCCUGGUGGUUAAUACCCAUCAGGAAAGACAUCACUCACAGAAGAAGCACCGGCUAACUCCGUGCCAGCAGCCGCGGUAAUACGGAGGGUGCGAGCGUUAAUCGGAAUUACUGGGCGUAAAGCGCGCGUAGGUGGCUUGAUAAGCCGGUUGUGAAAGCCCCGGGCUCAACCUGGGAACGGCAUCCGGAACUGUCAAGCUAGAGUGCAGGAGAGGAAGGUAGAAUUCCCGGUGUAGCGGUGAAAUGCGUAGAGAUCGGGAGGAAUACCAGUGGCGAAGGCGGCCUUCUGGACUGACACUGACGCUGAGGUGCGAAAGCGUGGGUAGCAAACAGGAUUAGAUACCCCAGUAGUC